AGCGAACGCUGGCGGCAUGCUUAACACAUGCAAGUCGAACGGGCAUCUUCUGAUUUCAGUGGCAGACGGGUUGGUAACACGUUGGAACGUACCCUUCUGUUCUGAAUAACUCAUUGAAACUUGUGCUAAUACCUGAUACGCCCUCUUGGUGGAAGGUUUUCUGCCGUAGUAUCGGCCCGCGUCUGUUUAGCUUUUUGGUGGGGUAACGGCCUACCCAGGCGACGAUCAGUAGCUGGUCUGAGAGGAUGAUCAGCCACACUGGGACUGCGACACGGACCAGAAUCGUACGGGAGGGAGCAGUAGGGAAUAUUGGACAAUGAGGGCAAGCCUGAUCCAGCCAUGCCGCGUGAGUGAUGAAGGCCUUAGGGUUGUAAAGCUCUUUUGUCCGGGACGAUAAUGACGGUACCGGAAGAAUAAGCCCCGGCUAACUUCGUG
rnacentral:rRNA from 1 species